UAAGGAAUAUUGGUCAAUGGACGCAAGUCUGAACCAGCCAUGCCGCGUGAAGGAUGAAGGUCCUCUGGAUUGUAAACUUCUUUUAUCUGGGACGAAAACGGGAUUUUUAUCUCAAUUGACGGUACCAGAGGAAUAAGCACCGGCUAACUCCGUGCCAGCAGCCGCGGUAAUACGGAGGGUGCGAGCGUUAUCCGGAUUUACUGGGUUUAAAGGGUGCGUAGGUGGGCUUAUAAGUCAGUGGUGAAAUCUCCGAGCCUAACUUGGAAACUGCCGUUGAUACUAUAGGUCUUGAAUUAUCUGGAGGUAAGCGGAAUAUGUCAUGUCGCGGUGAAAUGCUUAGAUAUGACAUAGAACACCAAUUGCGAAGGCAGCUUACUACAUAUAAAUUGACGCUGAGGCACGAAAGCGUGGGGAUCAAACA
rnacentral:rRNA from 1 species